GUUCAGAGUAUAGAUGUCUAUAAAGGUGCUGUAUCUCCAGAAUUCAGUGCGGUUUGGUCAUUUUCCAGGUUUUUCCAACUUUAAAAACACUGUUUAGAUUUGGACUUAACCAAUGAGGCAUGUUUGAUCAACAACAACAACAACAAUAAUAAAAAACGCUAGGCAAACCUGUGCUUUGUGGGGAAAUUGGGCUUCAGAUCACUAACCAGUGCUUCGUGAGGCCAGUCGGGACCUACGUAAUGCCGAUUGUCUUGUAUGUUUGAGCAAUCUGAGAAAUGAAUGGACAUUAUAUCUGAAAUAUGUGAAACUUGCCUUGGAGAACAAAACAAUGGCAUUCCUUAUGUGGUAUACAGCAUGUCGAGUCCUUUCUGUCCCUCGGAGAAAACCCAUCUUAUUUUAACUGUAAGGCUUCAUUUUAGCCUUUGACUUUGAUUUAGUUGUUUGGUUUUUAUCCACCUUUUCCAUUCUGUUGUUCAACUCUAUUAUGUUCGAUUGAUAAACCCUGUUAUAUUCCACCCUUAUACAUUCCAUGCUACUAUAUUUCAAUCCUGUUGUAUUCACUGUUCUGGCCUUUUAUGUUCCAACCUGCUAUGUUCCACCUUGUUCUAUUCCAUCCUGUUGUUUUCCUUUGUUCUGCCCAUCGCUAUGUUGUAUUGUUCCACCCUGUUAUAUUCCAACCAGCUGUACCACCCUGUUAUGUGACACUUCGUUGCACUCUGUUAUGUUUCACCCUGAUAUGUUACGUUGCGUUACGUUUCACUUUGUUACUCUUUGUUGUAACUAAUGUUACAACUAUGUUACAUCUCUCUUACGUCAAACUAUUCUGCCUGGUUAUGUUACACUCAAUUAUGUUACACAUUGUUACGCUCUGUAAUGUUACACUAUUCCACCCUGUUAUAUUACACUUUAUUAUGUUACACUCUGCUACAGUAUGUUACACAUUGUUACUCUCUGUUAUGUUACACACAGCCACCCUGUUAUGUUAUACCUAAAGUUACAGGUAUGUAACAACUCUCUGUUAUGUCAUACUAUUCUGCCUGGUUAUGUUACACCCUGUUAUGUUACACUAUUCCACCCUGUUAUAUUACACCAUGUCAUGUUACAUUAUACUGUUUUGUUAUGUUGCACCCUAUUAAGCCUGUUAUUAAGCUUGACAGAGUGGAAUAAAGAUGUGAC
ensembl:lncRNA